rnacentral:tRNA from 1 species
GUGGUAGAGCGUCUGCUUCGUAAGCAGAAGGUCGUCAGUUCAAUCCUGGCAAGUGGCU